CCUACGGGAGGCAGCAGUAGGGAAUAUUGGGCAAUGGAGGCAACUCUGACCCAGCCAUGCCGCGUGCAGGAUGAAGGCGUUAUGCGUUGUAAACUGCUUUUAUAUAGGAAGAAAGAGUUCUUGCGGGAACAGUUGACGGUACUAUAUGAAUAAGCACCGGCUAACUCCGUGCCAGCAGCCGCGGUAAUACGGAGGGUGCAAGCGUUGUCCGGAUUUAUUGGGUUUAAAGGGUGCGUAGGCGGUUUAUUAAGUCAGUGGUGAAAGACGGUCGCUCAACGAUUGCAGUGCCAUUGAUACUGGUAGACUUGAGUGAGAUUGAGGUAGCUGGAAUGGAUAGUGUAGCGGUGAAAUGCAUAGAUAUUAUCCAGAACACCAAUUGCGUAGGCAAGUUACUAAGUCUCAACUGACGCUGAGGCACGAAAGUGUGGGUAUCAAACAGGAUUAGAUACCCUGGUAGUCCACACUGUAAACGAUGAUAACUAACUGUUGGCUUUCGGGUCAGUGGUACAGAGAAAUCGUUAAGUUAUCCACCUGGGGAGUACGCCGGCAACGGUGAAACUCAAAUGAAAUUGACGG
rnacentral:rRNA from 1 species